rnacentral:misc_RNA from 1 species
GAAAUGCGAUACGUAGUGUGAAUUGCAGAAUUCAGUGAAUCAUCAAACCUUUGAACGCACCUUGCGCCUGAGGCUAUACCUCAGGCAUGCCUGUUUGAGUGUCGUUAAAAAUAAAUACUCACACAAAAAAAAAAGAGAAACUCUUCUUUGUUUUUUGAGUGGAUAAUGAGUGUUAGGCUGUCAGUGAGAGCCUGUCACUUGAAAAUCAAGUUGAAAGGAGAAAAAAAAAUGAGGUUUUUACACAACAGCUUUCAAACAUUGGUGUUUUUAAUGUGCCUAGCACAUAAUCUUUAGCAUCAAUUGAGUAGAGCUUGUUUGUGUUCUCUCUCUUUUUUCUUACACUUUUACUUAUCUCUCUUCUAUAAGAGAGGAUGUAGAACAAUACAUCUUUCUUAAACCAUGCGACCUCAAAUCAGGCAAAGCUACCCGCUGAAUUUAAGC